rnacentral:rRNA from 1 species
UCAGCUUUCGACGGUAAGGUAUUGGCUUACCGUGGCAGUGACGGUUAACGGGGAAUUAGGGUUCAAUUCCGGAGAGGGAGCCUGAGAAACGGCUACCACAUCUAAGGAAGGCAGCAGGCGCGCAAAUUACCCAAUUCUAACAGCAUAAGAGAGGUAGUGACAAGAAAUAACAGUACAAGGCAGUUAAAAUGCUUUGUAAUUGGAAUGAUAGAAAUUUAAAUACUUUUUAAAGUAUCAAUUGGAGGGCAAGUCUGGUGCCAGCAGCCGCGGUAAUUCCAGCUCCAAUAGCGUAUAUUAAAAUUGUUGCAGUUAAAAAGCUCGUAGUUGAAUUUUUGCUAAAAAUAACCGGUCUGCUAUUAUUACUAAAAGUGGUAUCUUGGUGUGUUUUUAGCAAUAAUGUCCUUUGAAAUGUUUUUUACUUUAAUGUAAAAAGCAAUUUUCAGGAUUUUUACUUUGAGAAAAUUAGAGUGUUUCAA